CAUAACAGGAUCCCAUACCAAAGCCCUGUGAGUUCAUCAGAGUCAGCUCCAGGAACCAUCAUGAAUGGACAUGGUGGUGGUCGAAGUCAGCAGACACUAGACACUCCAAAGACAACAGGCCCUCCCUCUGCCCUCCCGUCUGUGAGCUCCCUGCCCAGCACCACCUCCUGCACUGCACUUCUGCCGUCCACAUCCCAGCACACUGGCGACCUGACUAGCAGCCCUCUCUCUCAGCUUAGCAGCAUGCCAGUGUGGAGAGCGCCUCUUCCCACCAGUCCUCAGCCACCUUCUCCACGGCAGCGACCUCCGUCUCAAGUUCCGCAUCCUCAGGCGCCAGCCUGUCCAGUAGCAUGAACACCGCGAACAGCCUCUGUCUGGGUGGGACCCCCGCGAGUGCAUCCAGCAGCAGUAGCAGGGCCGCGCCCUUGGUGACCUCAGGCAAAGCACCCCCAAACUUACCUCAGGGGGUGCCUCCCCUGCUGCACAACCAGU
rnacentral:lncRNA from 1 species